rnacentral:rRNA from 1 species
UGGGGAAGUAUUGCACAAUGGGCGGCAAGCCUGAUGCAGCAACGCCGCGUGAGGGAAGACGGUCUUCGGAUUGUAAACCUCUGUCCUUGGUGACGAAUAAAUGACGGUAGCCUUGGAGGAAGCCACGGCUAACUACGUGCCAGCAGCCGCGGUAAUACGUAGGUGGCAAGCGUUGUCCGGAUUUACUGGGUGUAAAGGGAGCGCAGGCGGGAAAGCAAGUCAGUGGUGAAAACUAUGGGCUCAACCCAUAGACUGCCAUUGAAACUGUUUUUCUUGAGUGGAGUAGAGGUAAGCGGAAUUCCGAGUGUAGCGGUGAAAUGCGUAGAGAUUCGGAGGAACACCAGUGGCGAAGGCGGCUUACUGGGCUCUAACUGACGCUGAGGCUCGAAAGUGUGGGGAGCAAACAGGAUUAGAUACCCCCGGU